rnacentral:misc_RNA from 1 species
GAUGAAGAACGUAGCGAAAUGCGAUAAGUAGUGUGAAUUGCAGAAUUCAGUGAAUCGUCGAAUCUUUGAACGCACAUUGCGCCCUUUGGUAUUCCUUAGGGCAUGCCUGUUCGAGCGUCAUUUAAACCUUCAAGCUAAGCUUGGUGUUGGGUGACUGUCCGCUUCACGGCGGACUCGCCUCAAAAUUAUUGGCGGCCGGUACAUUGGCUUCGAGCGCAGCAGAAACGCGAACUCGGGCCCGUCGUAUUGGCUCCCAGAAGCUAUCUUCACAAUUUUGACCUCGGAUCAGGUAGGGAUACCCGCUGAACUUAAGCAUAUCAAUAAGCGGAGGA